rnacentral:tRNA from 1 species
GCCGAAAUAGCUCAGCUGAGAGAGCGUUAGACGUUAAAUCGAAAGUCCCUGGUUCGAACCCGGGUUUCGGCA